rnacentral:tRNA from 1 species
GGUCGGCUGGCCUAAUGGUAAGGCUUCCGUUUCCGGUACGGAGGAUUGCAGGUUCGAAUCCUGCGUCGAUCG